CCACCAUAUCAAUACCUGAUACUCUACCUGAGGUACCUCUCCUGGUACUCAAUAGGAACCCAAUGUUCCCACGGUUUGUCAAAAUGGUGGAGGUUACUGAUAAAUCUCUAAUGUCUUUAAUAAAACAGAAAUGUGACCUGGCUUUACCUCAAGUUAUGCUGGGGCUUUCCUUAAAAAGAAUAACAAAUACUUUAUAUUAUAAUACAUACAUUAGCAAUCUAUCCAUCACUUUUAAUAUCUUUUCAUUUUAUCUUAUAAUCUGAUUUCAUUUUAUUCCUAUUAAUUAGUGAAUUAUUAUUAUUAAUGGUA